CUACUACUCCCUCCGUUCCGAAUUACUUGUCUUGGAUUUGUCUAGAUACGGAUGUAUCUCGCACUAAAAUGAGUCUAGAUACGGAUGUAUCUAGCACUAAAAUGAGUCUAGAUACAUCCGUAUCUAGACAAAUCUAAGACAAGUAAUUCGGAAGGGAGGGAGUACCAG
rfam:Triticum aestivum genome assembly, contig: Triticum_aestivum_CS42_TGACv1_scaffold_129381_2BL